AGAUCUUCGGAUCUAGUGGCGCACGGGUGCGUAACGCGUGGGAAUCUGCCCUUGGGUUCGGAAUAACUUCUGGAAACGGAAGCUAAUACCGGAUGAUGACGUAAGUCCAAAGAUUUAUCGCCCAAGGAUGAGCCCGCGUAGGAUUAGCUAGUUGGUGGGGUAAAGGCCCACCAAGGCGACGAUCCUUAGCUGGUCUGAGAGGAUGAUCAGCCACACUGGGACUGAGACACGGCCCAGACUCCUACGGGAGGCAGCAGUAGGGAAUAUUGGACAAUGGGGGAAACCCUGAUCCAGCAAUGCCGCGUGAGUGAUGAAGGCCUUAGGGUUGUAAAGCUCUUUUACCCGGGAUGAUAAUGACAGUACCGGGAGAAUAAGCUCCGGCUAACUCCGUGCCAGCAGCCGCGGUAAUACGGAGGGAGCUAGCGUUGUUCGGAAUUACUGGGC
rnacentral:rRNA from 1 species